UGCCGAUUGGCCCAGUGGUAAAGGCGUCCGACUGUUACUUUCCCUCCUUCGGGAAAUCGGAAGAUCGUGAGUUCAAUCCUCACAUUGGCAG
rnacentral:tRNA from 1 species